CGAGGACGCCGAGGGAGGUGGAGGAGGAGGCCGGGCUCGCGGGCGUGUGAGAGCUGCCGGACGCCUCGAGUGGGAGCUCAGCAGCCCCUCCCAUGGAAUCCUCGCUGUCUCCCAGUGUCUACACCACCCUGAACACGCGCAGUGACGCAGAAGGUCUUCUUGGGUCUUCCUCCAUCGGCAGGAAAGUGUGUUGCCCACAUCCUUGACUCUCCACGUCUGGUCGCCUGGAUGUGGACCCACCCUCCUGCUGCCGCUGGUACUCAGAGCCCCCUCAGAUGAUCGGUGAUGGGGCAGGGGAGGGCUGGAAGCCAGGGCCCCCAUUGCCACCCCCCACCCGGCUUGUCUGGGCACCCAACUCAAGUGAUCUGCGCACCUACUGUGUGCCGGGCACCGUGCCGAGAGCGUCUGCGGCCCCUCCCUGUACCCUCACAACCGCCUGUGAAGGAGGCUCAUCAGCUCUGCCUUCAGACGGGGAAACUGAGGAUCCGGGAGGUUAAGUCAGCGCCCCAAGGUCGCCCACCUGACCCUGAGGAGCCCUGAAGGGGACGCACGUCCCCUCCCCACUCUGCCCCGUCUGCAG
rnacentral:lncRNA from 1 species